rnacentral:misc_RNA from 1 species
CACCGUCAAUUCAUUUGAGUUUCACCCUUGCGGGCGUACUCCCCAGGUGGAAUACUUAACGCUUUCGCUUUGACGCUAACUGUAUAUCGCUAACAUCGAGUAUUCAUCGUUUAGGGCGUGGACUACCAGGGUAUCUAAUCCUGUUUGAUCCCCACGCUUUCGUGCCUCAGCGUCAUUAACACCUUAGUAAGCUGCCUUCGCAAUUGGUGUUCUGUGACAUAUCUAUGCAUUUCACCGCUACUUGUCACAUUCCGCCUACCUCAAGUGUAAUCAAGCCUAUCAGUAUCAAAGGCACUGCGAUGGUUGAGCCACCGUCUUUCACCCCUGACUUAAUAGGCCGCCUACGCACCCUUUAAACCCAAUAAAUCCGGAUAACGCUUGGAUCCUCCGUAUUACCGCG